CACGUAGGGGGCGAGCGUUGUCCGGAAUCAUUGGGCGUAAAGAGCUCGUAGGCGGCUCAGUAAGUCGGGUGUGAAACCCCCAGGCUCAACCUGGGGACGCCACCCGAUACUGCUGUGGCUAGAGUCCAGUAGGGGAGUGUGGAAUUCCCGGUGUAGCGGUGAAAUGCGCAGAUAUCGGGAGGAACACCAGCGGCGAAGGCGGCACUCUGGGCUGACACUGACGCUGAGGAGCGAAAGCAUGGGUAGCAAACAGG
rnacentral:rRNA from 1 species